rnacentral:lncRNA from 1 species
CUGCAUUAACACUCACAAUACCGUUACGGCAUCACCCAUCGUACAUUAAUACUCACUAACAAUAUCAUACACGGCAUCAACCUUCGUGCUUUACACUCUUCCUCGUCCAAACAAAUGAAAUGAUAACAUCUGGCAAGGGAAUCAAUAAUAGAAACAUCAAUAGAAACAAUAUCGUCCCGUCACGCCUGCAGUCUUCUCGUUAAUGAUGUUGCACAUCACAUUUUGUGUUAGAGUCAAAAGAAUCACACCAAGAUCUUGGCGAUCUAAUAGAUCCCAAUCCGUUUUGGCCAUAUUCUCUAGUUUUACCCCGGUCACAGGUAAGUUUAAUUUUUUCUCGUAUAAAUAAUCCUCUAUUUGUAUUUUUCAGAAUCUAAAAUCAUUGCCAUAGAAUUUUUCAAUCUUCACUUUUCCUUCUUCCAACAUCAUUUUGAACACACAAAAAUUGUGUAUUAGUGCUUA